ensembl:lncRNA
GGAGCAAUGUAUUCCAUCCCGUGCUGCUGCACUUUUUUUUUCUGUAGCCUAUGCCUACAAAGGGGGAUAAGUCAAUUUUUUUAAGUGGUGAAAAAGAGGCUAAGGGGGGAAAUUACUCGUGCACAGUGCUCCCUUAUAAAGAGAUGAUCGUGUAGGUGGGACAGAACCAGACUUUUCUCAAGAUGCCCAACUACAGCAGAAGCAAGAGCUAUACUUGAUGAAAAGGAAACUUGGCUAGACAUCCCAAAAAAUCACACUGAAGAUGCAGAGUGGCUGUGAAAUCUCAAGCACUGAAGAUGUUUAAAAUUCAAGGUACAAGGUCCCAGAGAACAGGAUCUGACUUAGUGCUGUUUUGAGCAGGAGUAAGGGGACUCAACAGGAGGAAAAGCAUAUACUUUCAGAGUCAUGCAAGAAGCCCAGUCACAUUAUACCAGUGGAGACUUCAGUGUGUAAGGUCCGAUUUCCUCAGAGGGAGUAAACAUAAGCGAUGUCCACUGAGGUCUAUGAGAAGUGUCAAUUUUUAUUACUGCGAAGAAAUUAAAGGAAAAGGAGUGUUGCAGGUGAUGAAGAAAAUACUUGUCAUCACAAAAAGCUCAUGUUCUUAACUCUUAAAAAAAAAUGUUACUGGACUGAACUACACAUGUCAGCUGGAGAAUCCUGGAAGAAGCCCCAUUUUCAAUAAAUGACUUUCAAAGCAAGGAACAUACACAGAGGAGAAUUUAGAGUGGGAAUGAGUUACCCCCCUCUGAAUUAUUGCAUGGUUGUGCUGUUUGAUGUCAAGAGGCCUUUGCACUGCUCUGGAGUAGAUAUACCAGUAUUUUUCCUCCAAGCUCUGUCUCCCCAUCUGGCUCCACACUUGUUGGACUUGAUCUUUUUCCAACCUGAACAAUUCUAUGAUUCUACAAUUCUAUGAUGAGUAACAAGAGAUUAACUCAAAUGCUUACAUAAUUAAAGUGCUGUUUGAGCAUUUCAAAAUUGAUACUUGCUUGUUCAAGACCUUAUUGCAACAAUUUCAGAUGAGGAUCUUCAGUAUAAAAUACUGAUUUCACUCAUUAUAACACCAGACCAUGACAGAAUUCUCUGACUUAGAUCUGUGCUGAACUUUGGCUUACCUUGAACAAAAUUUAAAUAGCAACAUGUUUUGUUUCCAGUGUAUCUCCAAUUAAUAAAUGCAUUCAUUUGAAAACACUUCACCUCAAGUUCCUCCAGGUCCACCUUUUAAAUAAAGGCCUAUUUUCUCUUCCUGACAUCAUUCGCAGCAAAGACAGAUAGAUUGUGUGCAGAGUUUAUUACAAGAUCGAUCAAGAUAAUUGAGGUAUAAUUUUCUCAGUGAUUUCUGUCAUCAUUUUUAAAGGCAGGGAUGAUUAUGUUUCUCUUUCACCCAUCUGGGAAAACACACAGUGUUCUCAUGUAAUUUGAACAUUUCAGCAAGGAUGUGAGACCAUCUUUUUGGAUGUAACUAAUAGCUCUGCCAUUAGGCCAUCCUCUCUCGAGACUUCAUUUUUCUUACUAAUAAUCAUCAACACUAUCUCUUGUUCAGAAAAAAAAAAAAAGAAAAGAAAAGAAAAGAAAAGAAAAGAAAAGAAAAGAAAAGAAAAGAAAAGAAAAGAAAAGAAAAGAAAAGAAAAGAAAAGAAAAGAAAAGAAAAGAAAAGAAAAGAAAAGAAAAGAAAGAGCCACACCUAAGACUUUUUCUCAUUGGCAUAACAGCCAAUUUCAAAUUUAAGAUGUGGCUUAUGCUUAUGACAAUUCAAAUGCUCCCUAUGAAAUCUCCAGAGAGAAUCCCUUUCUUUUUUCCCCACUUUUUUUUUUUUUUUUUAAGAAUGUUUAUUUAAGUUACUUUUGUGGGUUUUUUUUAAGGCUAUUUCAAAACUAAACUCCAAGUCCCCUAAUUUUGCUCAAGUAACCACAUGAAAUUUUCUAAUUUACACCAAUUUUUCCAUGCCAUAAUUUAAGUGAAUUAUUCUUAAUUACAUCUAACCUUUCAGUAGAACAAGAUCCUGACUGUCUACUUUGUUAUUUUUCUCUUGGUCUUUUUUUUUUUUCCCUGUGUACUAUUCUGUUUUGGUAACUGUGAUAUCCUCUAUCACAAACAGCAUUCUGAAAAGCAUCUGAAAUACAAUUUCUUUGGUCCAAUAUUCGAUAAAUUUCUGGAUCUGUGAUGGUAAUGCUCAGUUUUACUGUCAUCACCUAUAUUCCAAUCGACUGUAACCAUUAGUACUCUACCCAGGAAUUUUGUUUCAAUCACUUUCACCUCUUAACACCCGAAAGGAAUAAGGCUUCAAGUUGAAGUUUUGGCCUUUGCUUAUUACUAAGAUAAAACCAGGACAUCAAAUAGGUUAACAACACACCCAUGACGGUAUAUUAUUGUCUAAGUAGUUUGUAUUAUUGUUUUGAAUCCUGGUUUUAUUAUUCUUCCAUAACCGACAGAGUUAAAGCAUUACUUCUGGAUAUGAGACCUGUGAUCUCCAAGGAUGUUUGUGAUGUAAAUAUACUUAAGCUUCAAGGUCCAUCUCUAAGCAUCUAUGUCCACAUUAAACAUUCUUUGUGUUAUAUAUCUAUAUACAAACAAUUUCUGAUGUAUAAUAAACUUAUUCAGUUACAGCUUACUAUACGGUAAGAUUUUUUCUUUGCUACCAAAAUAAUGUAUUGGACCUAAUCUAAUUCCUGAAAAUAAUUACAAAACUUAAAAAUAGAAUGAUGUUAAAUUGUAAACUUUGUAAAUUUGCAUCAUAAUGGUUAGUUAACCAGG